GAUGAACGCUGGCGGCGUGCCUAAUACAUGCAAGUCGAGCGAACAGAUGAGAAGCUUGCUUCUCUGAUGUUAGCGGCGGACGGGUGAGUAACACGUGGGUAACCUACCUAUAAGACUGGGAUAACUCCGGGAAACCGGGGCUAAUACCGGAUAAUAUUUUGAACCGCAUGGUUCGAUAGUGAAAGACGGUUUCGGCUGUCACUUAUAGAUGGACCCGCGCCGUAUUAGCUAGUUGGUAAGGUAACGGCUUACCAAGGCGACGAUACGUAGCCGAGCUGAGAGGGUGAGCGGCCACACGGGAACUGAGACACGGUCCUGACUCCUACGGGAGGCAGCAGUAGGGAAUCUUCCGCAAUGGGCGAAAGCCUGACGGAGCAACGCCGCGUGAGUGAUGAAGGACUUCGGAUCGUAAAACUCUGUUGUGAGGGAAGAACAAAUUUGUUAGUAACUGAACAAGUCUUGACGGUACCUAACCAGAAAGCCACGGCUAACUACGUGCCAGCCGCCGCCGUAA
rnacentral:rRNA from 1 species